UGAGGUGUAGCUCGGUGGUAGAGCGCUUGCCUAGCAUGUGUGAGGCACUGGGCUCGAUCCUCAGCACCUCAU
rnacentral:tRNA from 1 species